AAGUAGCACGUCUGGAAAUUGAGAACAAAGUCCUUCAGGAGCAAUUGAAACAGGCUUUACAGGAAGCUGAAAAAGCUAAGCAUCAACUUAACUAUUUCCUAAAUCAAGAGAGGAAGUUACUUAAAAGUGAGGGGAAAACUGAGACAACCAUGCGAGUGGGUAAUAGUCAAACAGAAGUUAAAGGUGAAGAUUCAAAAACUAUACCAUUGGAGAAGGAAACAAGAAAAUCACUGGUUUCAGAUUCAGGUGGACAGAGGGCAAGUGAUAAAAUCCAAGAAUAUCCACAGUUUGAUCACUUAAAUUAUCAUCUAAACUAGAAUAUUGCGACAACAAG
ensembl:lincRNA